UUUAUGGAGAGUUUGAUCCUGGCUCAGGACGAACGCUGGCGGCGUGCCUAAUACAUGCAAGUCGAGCGGAGUCUUACACUUUCUUCGGAAAGUGUUUGGCUUAGCGGCGGACGGGUGAGUAACACGUAGGUAACCUGCCCAUAAGACUGGGAUAACCCACGGAAACGUGAGCUAAUACCAGAUAGGCAUCUUCUUCGCAUGAGGGAGAUGAGAAAGACGGUUUCGGCUGUCGCUUAUGGAUGGACCUGCGGCGCAUUAGCUAGUUGGUGAGGUAACGGCUCACCAAGGCGACGAUGCGUAGCCGACCUGAGAGGGUGAUCGGCCACACUGGGACUGAGACACGGCCCAGACUCCUACGG
rnacentral:rRNA from 1 species